UAGAAUUCAGAGUGACUAAGAGAACUGCUAACAUUUGUGUCUUCCCUGCCCUUGCUUGCGAUGUCUCUUCCUGUGCAGGUCUUUUCCACCAUGACUUUAAGCAGCCUUGUGGUUUCUCAGCAUCCCCUCCUUGUCUUUUCUUGCUGAGAUUUCACUCUCAGGCCCUUUUGCUGCCUGCCCUGAUCACACCCAUCUUAAACAUGCAAACUGAGAAACCAUCAGUGCACAGCCAUGCUUUGGUUCAGAGGUCUCAGGUAUAAAGGAGCAUUGAAAUCAAGGACGAAGAUGCCAACAAAGACUGAGGGAAGAUAGCGGACCCAGACCUCCUGUGAAA